rnacentral:rRNA from 1 species
UACGAAGGGGGCUAGCGUUGCUCGGAAUUACUGGGCGUAAAGCGCGUGUAGGCGGCCCUGCAAGUCGGAUGUGAAAUCCCACGGCUCAACCGUGGAAGUGCAUUCGAAACUGCAGGGCUAGAGUCCUGGAGAGGAAGGUGGAAUGCUUGGUGUAGAGGUGAAAUUCGUAGAUAUCAAGCGGAACACCGGUGGCGAAGGCGGCCUUCUGGACAGUGACUGACGCUGAGACGGCGAAAGCGUGGGGAGCAAACAGGG